rnacentral:rRNA from 1 species
CCUACGGUGUGCUGCAGUGGGGAAUAUUGGGCAAUGGGCGCAAGCCUGACCCAGCAACGCCGCGUGAAGGAAGAAGGCCCUCGGGUUGUAAACUUCUUUUAUUCGGGACGAAACAAAUGACGGUACCGAAUGAAUAAGCCACGGCUAACUCCGUGCCAGCAGCCGCGGUAAUACGGAGGAUCCGAGCGUUAUCCGGAUUUAUUGGGUUUAAAGGGUGCGUAGGCGGAAUAUCAAGUCAGCGGUAAAAAUUCGGGGCUCAACCCCGGCCUGCCGUCGGAACUGGGUGCCUUGAGGGGGCGAGAAGUAUGCGGAAUGCGUGGUGUAGCGGGGAAAGGCAUAGAUAUCACGCAGAACCCCGAGUGCGAAGGAAGCAUACCGGCGCCCUACUGACGCUGAGGCACGAAAGUGCGGGUAUCGAACAGGAUUAGAGACCCUAGUAGUC